UAUCCUGUAGAACAGAAAUCUGGCUGACCUCAUGGGGACUGUACUGAGAGUCUGAAAAGUUGCUCAAGAGAAACAGGUAUGCAUACUUGGAGUCAAGCCCGUUGAAUUCUUUGGUUUCUACAUUGGAUAAGCACGGGGGAGUCUCAGCUGGAGUUGAAACUCUGCUCACUACUAGACAUUCUGGGUGACUGGUGGUGUGUGCUACCAGAGUCCAUUGUAUCAGAAGAUAGAAGACCUUCCUGGAAGAUCAUUAAGGAAUCAUCUGAGAUACAAGCUCACCUUGGGAAAAGAGCCAUCAGGGCAUAUGGUUAAAAAAAGAGAAUCAAGAAUGAUAUCCAAGUUGUAGUUCAAGCAUCUCAACAUAAAUGAUGCCAUCUAAGAGGAGGAGCC